GCUUGUAUGAAAGUUGAAUAAGAAUUGUAUCGUAUUGUUUCUUAUAAAUUAAUUUUUUUUUACCCUGAACUAAAAUUAUAAAUAUGAAUCAUGAUAGCAUAAAAAUAUUGGAAAGAUGAACAAGUGCAGGCACACCAAAUGUAAGUGUGGACACAUAAUAGUGAUUGACACAGUAACCUGAUAACAAAAUGUAACCCUUACUAAUCCAGAAAUGAAAAACUGGAUUGAAGGGAAUACCAAUUAAAAAAAAUGGAUUCUUCAAGCCUUUUUUUAAGUACAAUUGGUUAUAAAUCUACAAUUUCUAUUUACAAUACCAAAUUUUACUCAAGGGGCCCCUUUCAGUUUGUCAAGACAAAAAAAAAUUUAAACAAACAAUUGUGUCUACACAUGGAUUAUGAUGACAGUAACAAAGAUAGAACAGUUACAUUAAAAAAAAUCUGCAGUUAUAGUACUUUUUUUUUUCUUCAAAUUUUCCAGUUGCAUUCCUUUGUCACUUGCUUUAAGUGCUCAGAAUUUUGGUACACUGACUGCAAUCAGUAUUAUACUGUGAGCAACAUCUUACGUUGUGGGAUACUCAGUGAUGUAUACAUGAAUUUUAAUGUGCGUAUUGUUAUGCGUUUACUUUUCUAUAUUGGCUAGAGGUGUAGGAAAGGGUUGAGAUCUCAUAAAAAUGUUUAACCCCGCCACAUUUUUGCGCCUGUCCCAAGUCAGCAGCCUCUGGCCUUUGUUAGUCUUGUAUUAUUUUAAUUUUAGUGUCUUGUGUACAAUUUGGAAAUUAGUAUGGAGUUCAUUAUCACUGAACUAGUAUAUAUUUGUUUAGGGGCCAGCUGAAGGACGCCUCCGGGUGCUGGAAUUUCUCGCUACAUUGAAGACCUGUUGGUGACCUUCUGCUGUUGUUUUUUUCUAUGGUCGGGUUGUUGUAUCUUUGACACAUUCCCCAUUUCCAUUCUCAAUUUUAUGAAACCUGGUAAUUAGAAACUAAAUAUUAGUUUCAAUAUCUAUCAUUUCUACAAUCUGUUCUUAGAUAUAGCACAUUUCAACUUAGUGCAUAGUAAUCAUAGCAAGUGAUAAUACAAAAGUUUUUAACCCACAUAUCAAGAUUUUGUAUCAAUUAUUUUUUAUCAUAUACUUAGCAUUGAUAUGAUAGCUUUUGCAUAUGUGUAAUGAGCGGAAGUACACAAGCCAUAAUUUCCCAACCGGCCUGAUAACCCAUAUCAGGGGCGUCUCGUGCAAAAACCCAUAACAGUGCUUCUCGUGCAAGUUACUUCCGGUGUUUCUGGUAUCGAUUGUUUACUUUUCCAUUGUGACGUCAGAUAUUUUUUAUGACGACAUCAAAAUUUACGGGAAAUUUUGUCCCCAGUUUAGUACUUGCUAACAAAUGCCAUUGACAAUUAAGAAUCAUUUUAUAGUACAACAAACAUGGAGUAAUAAUGAUCAUAAAACUCUUCCAAAUUUUCAAUGUUUCAAAAUGACUUUAUAUAGGAAAUGUUACGAUACAUAUAUAUGGAGGUAGUGAUGCUGUUGUUGGACAGUUAUAGUAUAUUUGAUUCAUAAUUUAACUUCUUUAUAAACUUUUUGACUGUUUUAGUUAUUGCAUUUGUGUAUUUGCCUUAUUUAGUCCUGGUAUCUAUGAUGAGUUUAUUUACAUAAAACUAUUGUUGGAAGUAUAUGAUAAAGCGAUUAAUACAUGGCCUUUUCCAUAUCAGCCUGGGUAUCAUCCCUCGACCCAUAUCAGCACCUCGACUCCGUCUCGGGCUGAUAUGGGGGUCUCGGGAUGAUACCCAGGCUGAUAUGGAAAAGGCCAUGUAUUAAUCUCUUUGUAUAAACAUGAUAAUCAUUUCAGUAUGACUUAUAAAAGAAAAUGAGCCCAGAGUUAUUUCCACUUCCCAUACUAGAUAGAAGGUGGUGACCCACUGAUACUCCCUCAUUUCAGGGGCGGAUCCAGCCAUUUUAAAAAGGGGGGUUCCUAACCCAGGACAAAGGGGGGGUUCCAAUUAUAUGUCCCCAUUCAAAUGCAUUGAUCGUCCAAAAAAAAGGGGGGUUCCAACCCCCGGAACCCCCCCUCUGGAUCCGCGCCUGCAUUUGCAUAAAAAAGUUGCCAGGACUUCAUACAAUUUCAGACUCAACAUUUCAUACAAUUUCAUACUUUAAAAUUUUCUCAUGAUGAAGAAAAGAUUAUUGAGGUUCAAAGUUUAUGAUAAUGACUAGCAAAUUUGACAUUAACAUGCAGAAAGAUUUCAAUAUAUACAUACAUUAAAAGUGGGAUUA
rnacentral:lncRNA from 1 species